CAUGCACAAAUUACAAGAAAAAAUAUCAGCUCCCAUAAAUAUCAGUGGAUAAAUUCCAGGAGAGAAUUGACACCAAGUACAGGAGAGAGAUUAGUCCAAUCAAAAAGAGUGAUAAACAUCAUGCUUCAAGGAUAGGGAUGAGAGUUUGGAUGCCAUCAAAACAUACCUCAAGGAUAGGGAUGAGAGUUUGGAUGCCAUCAAAACAUCUCUUUGUUAAUAAGCAACAGGCUUGAACCAAAAACUAGACCGCAACAGGCUUGAACCAAAAACUAGACCUUCUUGAUGGACUUCCCAACUUUCCAAGAACAACACAUAGAAGUCUCUCUCAGCGAGCCUAGCAUGGCCCAAGUCCGUCCGAAAAAUGAGAAGAGCAUGUUCCAUAGGUCUGUUGCAAAUGUGCAAUGAAGAAACCUAUAAUUAACAGAUUCUGAGUUGCAUAAGCGCAUGUAGCAUCCAUUGACCAUGUAAAGGGAGAUCAAUAAGACGCAUGUCUUGAAUAAAAUCAGAAAAGUCCAUAGCCUUUGAUCUUGAAUAAAAUCAGAGAAGUCCUUCAUAGCCUUUGAUCUCCUAAUACAGUUGUACCUCUCAGGUUCAAAUCUACACAUUAAAUCACCACCUAUGAUCCAAUUUCCAUCCCAAAUGCAGCACAGCCAACUCAUCCCAUAGGUCUAGCCUUUCCAAACUUGAGUGAGGCCCAUACACUCCAGAAAAACAGAAUCUUAGAUUCACCUGCAAGCACUCCCACAUGUAUGCUACCCCUGGUAAGAGUCUAAGCAUUUCCUUUGUUGUUUGUCCACACAAUAAUAAUGCCACCCCUAGUACCACUUGCUUUCAAUUCCCCAUUCGACCUACCUUGAUCCCCAAAUAUGCCUUGCUAUUGCCACAGAACAAUACUCUGUUUUCGUUUCAUGUAACACAAGAAAUCAGGCUUCCAUUUUUGAAUAAAUAGCUUAAUGGUGCUUCUGUUUCUUAUGUCAUUCAAUUCCCUUAUUUUCCAGCUGAUAAUUCUUGCUUUCCUUCAGAGAAAGCUUUGUGGAACCUGCCCCUGCUUAACCCUUCUCCAUUCUAAUAAUUAAUUGGGCACUGUAGCUUCUUGGCCACAAUCUCGCCCUUUUCGUUAAUCUUUUCUUCUAUUGUCCUUUCCCCUUUGAUUGCUGCAAAUACAGCUUCCUUUUGUUCCAUGUGUAGUAUCAUGUCAAAGAUUUCAUGCUUAAACCCUGAUGAAAUGACCCCAAGGUCUACAAACUUUAGUCAUCACUAUCUUGGUCCAAUGAAAGGUUUUGUUAACUAUCGAGCUUGAAACAACCUGUUGAUCUUGCAAACAAUUACCGUACUAGGGUUGUGGCAAAGUGUCGCUACUAGUUGGGAAGAGGAACCCGAGUCUUGAGAACACCCAAUAGAGAAAUCAAAGUUGAGAGGGGAAAAAGAGAGCAGAUGAAGGUCGCAUGCAUGCUUCAUCUGCGUCUCCCUUGGGAAGAGAAACCUGAGUCUUCAGAACACCCAAUAGAGAAAUCAGAGUUGAGAGGGGAAAAAGAGAGCAGAUGAAGGUCGCAUGCAUGCUUCAUCUGCGUCUCCCUCGCACAGGUCUAGAGAAUCUGCUUGUGUUUUGAAAGCCAAUAAUGGCUUUUGAGACAAUUUAGCAUUCCAACCUCCUUGAGAAAGCUUUUGCGUUUCUACAUCUAUAGGUUAGGCCGGCCUAAUAGCCUUCCACUCCUUUAACAUAUUAUUAUUAAGAUGCAAGUUCCCCUUUACCCUCCUUGAGUAAUAAAGACGGUCUCAAGUAGUCUUUUGCAGCAACUGGUCUUUGCCUUAAGUUGGCCCAAAGUUGCCUUCGGAUUUUUGGGACUCAACCCUAAGGUCCUCAAUAAAUUUGAAAUUUGAAUUAAUAGGCUCCUCAGUCUUUGAAACACAUACUUGUUUGGACAUCAGUUAAAACACCAGCGACUGAGAUUUUGGAGAAGGCGUGACGAUAACGGAAAUUUCAAAAAUCAUGAUGAGGACUCUCAAAUCAAUUUAGUGCAAAGGUUCAUGUGCAACUGCUGGAUACAAAUCUGACCCAGAGAAUAUGACUUCUCUUCUUCGUGUUUGAAUCUGCACUGAUAUAACCACCACAACGAUCCCCAAUAAAUUUCAGAGUUUUUCCAACCAUACAUAAAGCGGGAUGCCCCAAUCCACCUCUAAUUUGCUGCUAAUUCUUCUUUAGAGAUAUCUGCCCGAUUCUAAAGACUUACCAGUCAAGUCAUUAUCUUUUCCCGUUCCAAAACAUUCCUCAAUUAUUAUCCUCUCCGUUUUUGCCUUGAAGGAAAUUCAAAUAUCAUCUAGUUGUGGUGUUUGAGCUGUAAAACGCUCAAAGCUGCCAUCUUCUUCCACUUUCCAAGAACCAUUGAUGGAUAACUAUUGGAUUUGGACUCUAGCUGAAGGGAUCAUUGAAGGCUCCAACUAAGCAACACCCUCU
rnacentral:lncRNA from 1 species